UUAAUGGAGAGUUUGAUCCUGGCUCAGGACGAACGCUGGCGGCGUGCCUAAUACAUGCAAGUCGAGCGGACAGAAGGGAGCUUGCUCCCGG
rnacentral:rRNA from 1 species